rnacentral:rRNA from 1 species
UCGAGGAUCUUCGUCAAUGGGCGAAAGCCUGAACGAGCGACGCCGCGUGCGGGAUGAAGGCCCUUGGGUUGUAAACCGCUGUCAGGGGGGAUGAAACCGUAAGGUUGACAGAGCCCCAGAGGAAGCACGGGCUAAGUUCGUGCCAGCAGCCGCGGUAAUACGAACUGUGCGAACGUUACUCGGAAUCACUGGGCUUACAGGGUGCGUAGGUGGCUUGAUAAGCAGGGUGUGAAAUCCCUCGGCUCAACCGAGGAACUGCGCUCUGAACUGUCGAGCUAGAGUAUGCUAGAGGUGAAUGGAACAUCCAGUGGAGCGGUGAAAUGUGUUGAUAUUGGAUGGAACACCAGAGGCGAAGGCGAUUCACUGGGGCAUAACUGACACUGAGGCACGAAAGCCAGGGGAGCAAACGGGAUUAGAU